rnacentral:rRNA from 1 species
UACGAAGGGAGCAACGGUUGUCCGGAUUUAUUGGGUUUAAAGGGUGCGUAGGUGGCUUUUUAAGUCAUGGGUGAAAGCCCGCAGCUCAACUGUGGAAUUGCCUGUGAUACUGAGGAGCUUGUGUGCGGUUGAGGCAGCUGGAAUUGGUGGUGUAGCGGUGAAAUGCAUAGAUACCACCAGGAACACCGAUUGCGAAGGCAGGUUGCUAAGCCGUAACUGACACUGAGGCACGAAAGCGUGGGGAGCAAACAGG